UACGGGGGGGGGCAAGCGUUGUUCGGAAUUACUGGGCGUAAAGGGCUCGUAGGUGGCCAACUAAGUCAGACGUGAAAUCCCUCGGCUUAACCGGGGAACUGCGUCUGAUACUGGAUGGCUUGAGUUUGGGAGAGGGACGCGGAAUUCCAGGUGUAGCGGUGAAAUGCGUAGAUAUCUGGAGGAACACCGGUGGCGAAGGCGGCGUCCUGGACCAACACUGACACUGAGGAGCGAAAGCCAGGGGAGCAAACGGG
rnacentral:rRNA from 1 species